rfam:Aerococcus christensenii strain CCTG28831, complete genome.
UCCAUUUAGUGUUAGGUGAGGCUCCUGUACAAAUAUAAGCUAUCGUCCAAAAAUGUCGAGAGACACCAAUGGGUUAAACAGAGAUUGUCGAACUAAGGCUUUCUCCAGAUAGCUAAGUGGCGAAUGAAAAUUAGUCACUUGACGUUGUACAGUGCUAAAACUCAGACGAAGCAACUUAUGCCU